GUUUAGUGACCUCGCUGUCUCGCAUAGUCACACUCUUAAUUGCACUGUUACCCCCAAAUUUCAAACCCUAUCUCCCAACCCUAACACAACCUCAUAGUCUUGCACUUUGCGCAGCCGCCAAGACUCGAGUUUCAGCCACACCCGCUGCGGGAGACUCAGAUUAGGUGUUUCCUAAGAAGAAUAGUUUCCAUCGAGUCUCAAUUGUGGGUGGAACUUCAAAGAUUUGUACACAUCAUGGUGCGGCAUCAGAGAAGAAGGUGCCACCAAUUGGAGAUGGAGUAUCGAACAAUCCUUAAGUUUCAUGAACAAGGAAGAAACUACUGUUCAGUUUUCUCAUCCUUGGCCCAAAUGGGUCCAACUCAUGAAGUGCUUGCUUGACAAUGGAUACUUAAGUCAUGAAGAGGUAAAAAUGUUUCGCAAUGUUGGUAUGAGCAUGAAGGAUUGCAAUGUCAUUAGAAUCAUGUGCCUCAAUUUCUGUAGAUACCACUUUCAUCUUUUAAGUUCAUAUAGAAGCAAGGUGUCCUUAUAACUGCCACUUCCAAUAACCAUAUCGAGGCAAGUAUAUCUAUGGACUUGCUCACAUUUUGUUUGCCUCUAAAUUUCAUUUUCACCAAGUUUAUUCCACGUACUACUAAGAUUCACAAUGUUAGUAAGUUCUUUUUUUCGGUGUAAUGGGUCAAUAUGUUUUUAUUAUCAUGUUUAAGUUUAGUUUAUUGGGAAAAAUUAUUGUCUUAAAGAAAUUUCACAUUUAGGUUUGGGACAUAGACGAGAAACAGUCGUCUAAUGUGUAUAUAGCUAAAGAAGAAAUCACUUCCUUUGCAGUCAUUAUGCCUUUAUAUGUAAUUAGUAAGUCUAAUUUGGAACAAACUAUGCGAUAAAGAAAACAAGAAGCAAAUUUGUUGAACAAUCCAUUUUUUUUAUAAUAAUAUCAUUUCUAUAUAUAUGAAUACUUUUUUUUUUCUACAAGUGUAGUUGGAGAAAUUUAUCUAAACAGGUCCUAAGUCUUAUUUUUUAUGAAGGAAUUGAAUGAGUGAAAGAUAAGUUGUUUUAGUCCCUUAAAGAUAGAUCAUGUUUGUAAUGUACUUAUGAUAUCUCCAGCUUUGCUACUUUUGAUUUGGGGGUUUAUUAUAAAAAUUUAUUUAUACUUAAUAUUUGAUCCAAUGGCUAGUCAAAUAGUGAAUUUGAAAAUCGUAUAUUAUAAUCAUAUUUAUAAGUUGGUCAAAUUAAGUUAGAUCAUAUGUGUUGCAACUGGACAUAUUGAAAAUAAAGUGUCAAAGUUUGAGUUGAAUUGUGAAUUAAUAGUUAUUAGAACAUUAAUUAGCUCUUGCUAUCAUAACAAAAUAUUUUUAAAAAAUUGCAAAAAAAACAUCAAUUGGUCUAAAAUCGAUGUUGUAAGUACCAUACAACAUCCAUUAGUUCGGCCAAAACCGAUAUUGUAUGGUACUUACAACAUUGAUUUUUCCAAAACUGAUGUUGUUUUUGUUUCUUUUUUUUGUCUAUUUGUUAUUAUACUACAUUGGUUUUGGUCAAAAUUGACGUUGUAAGUACUAUACAACAUCGACUUUGAUACAAUCGAUAUUGUGUGGUACUUACAACAUCAUUUUUUCCAAAACCGACGUUGUUUUUAUUUUUUUGUCUAUUUGCUACUAUACCACAUCGGUUUUGGAGAAAGCCAAUGUUGUAUAGUGGAUUUCAACAUCAAUUUUUAUAAUUGAUGUUAAAAAUGGCUUACUUUUAACAAUGGUCAUUUCAACAUCGGUUCAAAACCGAUGUUGAAUGUCCAAAAAAAUAAUGUUAAAUAUCAAUUUUGUAGUAGUGAAUAUAAAACAAACAAGCUACCACUUGAACCAUCACCAUGACACUUGAACUACCAUCACCACUAUGUCCAAACCAAACAGCCACCACCUCCAAUCAAAAAGCCCCAAAUCCUAACUCCCAAAUUAGACAUCCCCUACCCCCAAAUUUGAAAUCCUAACCACCAUCACCACCACACCUGAACCAAACAACAAAUCAAUUACGAAAAUGAAACACUCACUAAAAUCUCAGCGAGAAACACUUUGAGAUUAUCAAUGCUGAUUCUAGAAGCACCUUCGGCCACCGUCACCUUUGGCUUCUUCUGCUUGGCCUUUUUUAGCUCCAAAACGGUGUUGGCUUCAUGCUCUGCAUCACCGUCGUCUUUUUCAUUGGAAAGUCAUUUUGAUCUGCUGGAAGUGGUGGCUGUAGCUAAUUCAACCUCGAUGUCGUUUUCAAAGUUCAAACCCUUGAAAACCCCAUUGGAAAAGAGAUGAAGCAAAGGGCAAGAGAGAGAAAAACAUGUCGCAUUUCUAGAGAGAGAAAGACGAGUUUGAAAAAGGUAGAAGGAAUUGAUUCUAGAGAGAGAAAGUAUGGUGAAUUUCUAGAGAGAGAGAACAGAGGGACAACCAACAUUAUCGACUACGACGAUGAUUACCUUGACGAUAAAGAGGAUGAGAGGAGGCGUGAAUAGAAGAAACUUAAGCUCAGGGCAAAGCUGAACUAGGAUGGCAAAGAAGAAGAAAUCAAGAUGACACGGAGCAAAAAUUUUAAAAUAAAAAAUAAUACCAUUUAGGAUCGGAUAUACUGAACCUAAUUCUGCGCCAAAAAAUGACACAUUUAUAAAAUAUGAGAAAGAAAAGUAGACCAAAAAUUUGACAGAAACAAAAACCAAACUUUUCCAUAUGUAAAUAUUUUUAGCAUAGAAUUGGAUAACAUUAACAUCAUAUUUCUUUGAACAGAUUCUCUUGUAAGCAUCAUUUCACAUGAUAUGAUAAAAUUACAACAAAAAUUCUGAUAAACAUAACUGGGCAAAAAUGAAGGAAUGCGCUUUGAGCAAGAACCAUAACCUUAUGUCGGUUAUUCAGGGGAGG